ACGUGUCGCCUUGAAGCUUGGCGUUGUCUACAUCUCUGUUCCCCGCCCUCCUUCCACCUCCCAUCAAACAAAUCCAUAGCUGUCUCACCACUUCCACCCUCUCGUAACACAAUCCGGCCGCGCGCCCUCUCACUAGCUGUCAAUGGAAUCCAUGGAGCCUCGCGGAGGCAAUAAGGAUCAAGGAAUCAUCGAACUACGCCGCGGCCGUGGACCUCUUAUGGGAGGAAUAGCAAAUCCCGUCGCACUCCUGGAAUCGAUAUUAUCGAAUCUAUCGCUGCUGAUCUGGAUCUCGAUUCAAGUUCCAGAUCCAAUGUGGUGGAUGGUACUCCUAGUUCAUCCGUUCUGAUUUCUCCUGACAUACGAACAACUGAUGCACCCCAAGUCCGGCCAUGGCGAUUCAAAGUCUUGUACAUAGCCACUGGGUGGUGGAUAGAAACGCAGGUGUUGAUCCAGGGAGCUGUAUCUCUGUGCAAUUCUAGUUCAUAUCAGUCGGAUGGAGGAUGGAAACGCAGCGGAAUGCUAUGAUGAUUCUUGGUGUUAUUACUAGUACUCGUACAAGCAGUUACCGAUCCCGUGACGGGCUUACGGCGAGGGCAGUGCCAAGCAAAGUAACCUCUAUGGAGAGGUGUCUGCUGAACUCCCAA